CCCAAUCCUGAGCUCCGUACGCGGUGGGAACUCAACCAACCGCUGGUUGUGCUCUAGUAUUUAGCAUCUUGAAGGUUACGCUAAAUUGGGCCACCGAGGGGAAUACCCGGGCCGGUUGGAUUUACCCAAAACAUUCACCUUCAGGUUGGAUUCGUUUCGUACCCUUACUUCCGUCCGACGCGGGUAUCGAAUUACUUCCGGCCCUUUUGGGUGGAACCGGUUCCAGCAAAAACCCAACGUCCGUGUCACAAAUCCAGCGUCCAGCAUCCAAUUUGCGGCCCUCGAUCGCUCGUAGUACGAUAGCAUGAGAAAUUAUCCAAAAAGUUCUUACGAUGCCAAGACAAACACCCAACCAAAACGCAAGACGCGCAAAACAAAACCCUCACACGCUACCUCAACCUUGGACGAGGUUAUGUUUACACGCCGAAGCUUUUGGGGUGGAAGCCAUUUUUUCGUGUGGUUCGCUGCCCAAAACGUAAACAACAUUAGACGCCGUUUGUCUUCCUUCUGGGUGGAAUCUCUAUCUGUUUCGGUGGACACGACCGGUGGUGGCUUUCUCUCCAAAUUUUGGCGAUUUAUGUAAAAGAAACAACAAAUCCCACGAAAACUAGUUCCUGAAUCCAGUUUGGUCUCGCGCGGGUGCCAACCUAAACCAUUUCUCGACCUGGUACAAACAUAUAAAAACAAGCAAAUAAAAAAUAUUGUACCGAUAAA